rnacentral:rRNA from 1 species
GAUGAACGCUGGCGGCGUGCCUAAUACAUGCAAGUCGAGCGAAUGGAUUAAGAGCUUGCUCUUAUGAAGUUAGCGGCGGACGGGUGAGUGACACGUGGGUAACCUGCCCUUGACUCUGGGAUAACUGCGGGAAACUGUAGCUAAUACCGGAUACGACCCUCGGCGGCAUCGCCAGGGGGUGGAAAGAAUUUCGGUCAAGGAUGGACUCGCGGCCUAUCAGCUAGUUGGUGAGGUAACGGCUCACCAAGGCGACGACGGGUAGCCGGCCUGAGAGGGUGACCGGCCACACUGGGACUGAGACACGGCCCAGACUCCUACGGGAGGCAGCAGUGGGGAAUACUGCACAAUGGGCGCAAGCCUGAUGCAGCAACGCCGCGUGAGGGAUGACGGCCUUCGGGUUGUAAACCUCUUUUAGUAGGGAAGAAGCGAAAGUGACGGUGCCUGCAGAAAAAGCACCGGCUAACUACGUGCCAGCCGCCGCCGUAA